UGGGGAAUAUUGCACAAUGGAGGGAACUCUGAUGCAGCGACGCCGCGUGAGUGAUGAAGGAAUUCGUUUCGUAAAACUCUGUUCUAUGGGAAGAAAAGGACUGUACCAUAGGAGAAAGCUCCGGCUAAAUACGUGCCAGCAGCCGCGGUAAUACGUAUGGAGCGAGCGUUGUCCGGAAUUAGUGGGCGUAAAGGGUGCGCAGGCGGCUUUACAAGUUGGAUGUGAAAUAUUGUGGCUCAACCACAAACGUGCAUCCAAAACUGAAAAGCUUGAUUUAAGGAGGGGUAAGUGGAAUUCCUGGUGUAGCGGUGGAAUGCGUAGAUAUCAGGAGGAAUACCGGUGGCGAAGGCGACUUACUGGACUUAAACUGACGCUCAGGCACGAAAGAGUGGGGAGCAAACAGG
rnacentral:rRNA from 1 species